rnacentral:rRNA from 2 species
UGGUGAGUGACGCGGGGGAAACCUGCCCACGGGCGGGGGAUAACACGUGGAAACGGAUGCUAAUACCGCAUAACAAGUUGGACCGCAUGGUCCGAGUUUGGAAGAUGGCUUCGGCUAUCACUUGUGGAUGGCCCCGCGGCGUAUUAGCUAGAUGGUGGGGUAACGGCUCACCAUGGCAAUGAUACGUAGCCGACCUGAGAGGGUAAUCGGCCACAUUGGGACUGAGACACCGCCCAAACUCCUACGGGAGGCAGCAGUAGGGAAUCUUCCACAAUGGACGAAAGUCUGAUGGAGCAACGCCGCGUGAGUGAAGAAGGGUUUCGGCUCAUAAAACUCUGUUGUUAAAGAAGAACAUAUCUGAGAGUAACUGUUCAGGUAUUGACGGUAUUUAACCAGAAAGCCACGGCUAACUACGUGCCAGCAGCCGCGGUAAUACGUAGGUGGCAAGCGUUGUCCGGAUUUAUUGGGCGUAAAGCGAGCGCAGGCGGUUUUUUAAGUCUGAUGUGAAAGCCUUCGGCUCAACCGAAGAAGUGCAUCGGAAACUGGGAAACUUGAGUGCAGAAGAGGACAGUGGAACUCCAUGUGUAGCGGUGAAAUGCGUAGAUAUAUGGAAGAACACCAGUGGCGAAGGCGGCUGUCUGGUCUGUAACUGACGCUGAGGCUCGAAAGUAUGGGUAGCAAACAGGAAUAAAUCCCCCUGGUAGACCAUACCGAAAACGAAGAAUGCUAAGUGGUGGAGGGUUUCCCCCCUUCAGUGCUGCAGCUAACACAUUAAGCUUCCCCCGUGGGGAGUACGGCCG